rnacentral:lncRNA from 1 species
CUUUCUUUCAGAUGCAAAUCAACCAAAACCUUCCUGAUAUCAAGAUGAUGACUGAGGUCCCCCGAACUUUGAAAGAAUGGUGGGGAAACAUCCGAGUGGCCUACAGAAAUGAGAUUAUGCUACACUUAUGUAACGACCCGCUAGGUCAUUUUGAGAACUAGGACUAUUUUGACUUUUCCCAAAACUUUUGAAUGGAAAAUUUUAAAAUUUAUUCAGUAG